UAUAGUGACGGGAUGUGUUUUGUCGUAAAAGUGCAUAAUUACGUAUAAUUUUUAUUGAUAGGAUAUUGUAUUAUUAUUAAUUAUUAAGUUCAAUUUUUAAGAUAAUUAAGCCUUGUUUAUGUAAUCAUUAUUAUAGCAAAAUUGAAUAUUUUUGAUAGAUAAUCGUUUGAUUGUUUCGAAAGUGGGAUGACUUUGAGCGUAUAAAAUAUGAUAAUUAAGAGUUAAUUCGACAAUUUUUAUAAUAAGGAACGUUUACAUUCGUAGCACAUUCGACAUAUUUAUACUUGUUGUUGAACAUAUACCCUUCCCAAUUUGUAAUGUAAUAUAUCGAAUCGUGGCGCGAGAUGUCAUUUCGUUGUCGAAACUCGUGACGGUUAGACGCUUUCAGAUAAAGAGCUGAUUUUAAAGAUUUUCGAUAAAUGAUCUUUUAUGAAGAAGAAAUAAAAUUUAAAUUUCUAUAUCGAAGAAAACAUAUG